UACGUAGGGUGCAAGCGUUGUCCGGAAUUACUGGGCGUAAAGAGUUCGUAGGCGGUUUGUCGCGUCGUUUGUGAAAACCAGCAGCUCAACUGCUGGCUUGCAGGCGAUACGGGCAGACUUGAGUACUGCAGGGGAGACUGGAAUUCCUGGUGUAGCGGUGAAAUGCGCAGAUAUCAGGAGGAACACCGGUGGCGAAGGCGGGUCUCUGGGCAGUAACUGACGCUGAGGAACGAAAGCGUGGGUAGCGAACAGGAUUAGAUACCCUGGUAGUCCACGCCGUAAACGGUGGGCGCUAGGUGUGGGUUCCUUCCACGGAAUCCGUGCCGUAGCUAACGCAUUAAGCGCCCCGCCUGGGGAGUACGGCCGCAAGGCUAAAUG
rnacentral:rRNA from 1 species